UUCUGAUUUUGUGAGGUCUUGCCAAUGC
rnacentral:piRNA from 1 species